rnacentral:rRNA from 1 species
CCGGCGACCGGCGCACGGGUGAGUAACACGUAUGCAACCUGGCCGCCACAGGGGGAUAACCCGCGGAAACGCGGCCUAAUACCCCGUGACGCCACCGGAGGGCAUCCUCCGGUGGCCAAAGGAGCGAUCCGGUGGCGGAUGGGCAUGCGGCGCAUUAGCUAGACGGCGGGGUGACGGCCCACCGUGGCGACGAUGCGUAGGGGUUCUGAGAGGAAGGUCCCCCACACUGGUACUGAGACACGGACCAGACUCCUACGGAAGGCAGCAG